UGUUAAAAUUUUCAUCCAUUUGUAUUGUUAAAAAUUGGCGUGGUUGAUAGAAUAACCAAACAGUGACAUAUGAUGUACCUCGUGUACCUCAUGCUAAUGUACAGGGACCAAGUUUUAACAGCAAAAAUGGAUGAAAUUUUUAACA
rfam:Gossypium hirsutum cultivar TM-1 chromosome 1, whole genome shotgun sequence